GUCCCUGUAGCGCAAUGGAUAGCGCACGCGCGUUGGACUUCUAAUCUAAAGGUCGUGGAUUUGAUUCCCACCUGGGAUG